CUUGGAAAGUGUGUGUGUUGUUGAGAUUGGAAUGGCCAGACAUCAAAAUGAAUGGUCAUGACUGUAAAACAAUAGCUUGGCAGGCUACCUGGUCAUAAAAAUUAAUAGCCCCAGACAUGUAUAACAAAAGCUUUUAAUGGUCAGCAAUUCAUUUAAUAUGCAGACUGUAUGCAUGAUCACCUGAGUUUAGCAGCUGUUUCUCAAACAGGGGGAGGAGAAAAGGAUCAGACAGUCUCAGAUAAAUGUUUGUAGUAAUCUCAUUGUUAUGAAAAUCAUAAAAUUUGAAUGAUACUCAUGUGACUUUCAACCCAGUACUUUUCUGGAUUGCUCCAGGACUGAUUUCAUGUAUUUAUACAUGAAAUAAAAUUGUUUAAUGCAGGAAAUGUAUAACUUAUAAUAACUUAUGAUGAUUGACAGUAAAUCUCAAAGGGUCUUCUUUCCAAAGAUAUUUAAAUUGUGUAUGGAGCAAAUUUAUCAGAAACUGUUAACAUUUAAAGUUAGGUAGCGCAUUUUCAACUAUGAGUCCCAAAGUCUGUGUCGAGGCCUUAAACGAAGCAUGAUUUAAAAUGUUGUGUGCUAUAAGACGGGCUUUGAAAAAUUUAGGUAAAAGUUGCAUUACCUUUGAAUCGCGACUCUACGUGUUUUAGCCGUUGUUUGUGGAGGUAGGUUUUGUCUGUCUGCUAAAAAGUGAGUUUGCAAUUGUUUAUAUGAUUAAUUUUGUUUCAGAUAAAAUGGCUUACAGUAGCAAUACAAAAAUUCCCAUGUGGAUGACGAAGAAUUUUCUUGAUUAAGAGAGAGGUUCCGCUUUGUAGCAUAUUCGGCCUUGGAUCCAGCAACACCCAGGAAUUGGAUCAAGGAGGUGGUCACCGAAGUUGGAGUUGUUGUGAUUAGGAAAUUAAAUUUAAGAGAUCUGAGCAAAACAAAGCAUGAAAUGAGCAACAUGGAAACGGAAUUGAAGGCAGCAAAAGCUGCUCAGUAUUUUUUGAGAAAUGAUGUUACUUCUGAGCAGGAAGGAGGUUCCGUUUUUAGAAAUGAUGUCCUUAACUCUGAGUAGAAGGAAUGGUCUGUUGAGGGUGCCAUAAGGACUGUGACAGAGGAAGCAGCACACUGAACUUCCAAAAAUAUUUGUAUUUCUGUUUGAAAAGUUUUAUUUAGUUUGUAAUUGUAUAUGUAUAGAGUGUUUAUAUAAUAAAUAUGUUUGCAGUCUUUUGGGUAUAUGGAAAAUUGCAUUGUUUAAAUGUAGUUAAAAUGGAAGUUUUUAUUAUAAUGAAUGAAUCUUGUUUAGUUUGUUCUUUUUAAAUCACACAAAGUAAUAAAUUAUGCAGUUACAUGUUUAUGGAUAAAUAAUAAAUCCUGCUUGUUAAAUAAGAUUUAAAUGAUACAAAUUAACAAUUGUUAAAGUAUUACAUUGUCACUGGCCUAAAAGCAGUGUUAAGGUAGUUAGUAACUGUCAUGGUGUGUAGUUUAUCAGAAAUAUAAUUUGGUGUAAUGGUAAUCAUUUUUGUCUUUUCAUCCAAGAGAUAAUCUUUGUGUACAUACACAAACGCUAAACAAUAGCUACCCAGGCAAUAGACAUUUGAACGAUUACAUGCAUUUCAUUUUCUCAAAACCAUGUCUAUAUACUUGCAAGUAUACUUAAUGUGCCUUGUGGCAUAAGUUUAAU